rnacentral:rRNA from 1 species
UACGAAGGGGGCUAGCGUUGCUCGGAAUCACUGGGCUUAAAGGUCGCGUAGGCGGAUCUUUAAGUCGGGGGUGAAAGCCCAGGGCUCAACCCUGGAAUGGCCUUCGAUACUGGAGAUCUUGAGACCGGAAGAGGUAAGUGGAACUGCGAGUGUAGAGGUGAAAUUCGUAGAUAUUCGCAAGAACACCAGUGGCGAAGGCGGCUUACUGGUCCGGUUCUGACGCUGAGGCGCGAAAGCGUGGGGAGCAAACAGG